UUUUCCCUUAGAGGUAAAAUAUUCCCCCGCCCCGCCCCAUGCCUUCUUGUCCUGCUUUUUGAGUGCUACUCCAGAGCCUCAAGUGAUAUUAUGUCUGUUCUGAAUUCUCUUGUAGUGGCGGCAAAAGUGGUACCAACAGAGGGUUGAGAGCUUCCCCAAACUCUUUUCUUUCUCCUCCAAAAUUUUGGCCCUCUCACUUCUUCUUACCUUCCAGAUCUACUUGUUAUUGUUGUUUCUAGCAUUAUGUCCUAUUUCUUAGGUAAAUCUUAGGUUUCUUCUGGUUCUCUUUUCCUAGCUCAACUCCUUUAGCCCUGCAGAACCUAAGAGGUGAGUGGUGCAAAAUUAGAUUCUUCUAAGUAUGGUAUAUUUUUGUCCCUAAUAAGUUGCUGCAAGUAACAAAUAAUUACAAAAAUCUGAGCUGUUGAAUUUUAUGGUUAAGAAAGCUCAAUGAAGUCUUGAAGUCAUCUGGAAGUACGUUUUUCCCACACUGCCAAAGCUCACCAAUCUUAGUAAUGAUCAGGACCAGCUCUUUCUGGGUCACCUAAGCUUCAGAGAUCUCCCCUCCUCUGGACACUACCGCAGUCCCCUGUGAUAUGCUGCCUUACGGGGCUCAAUAUCCUUUAAUAUGCGUGUGUUUCUUACAGUCUGGUUUCACUUAUGAAGCUGUGAGCUGCCAAUAACAGGAGAGCUGGUUUAAUUUAUCAAGUACUGAAAUAUAGAGUUUACAUUUCUUAUCUAAUAAGGCCAUCGGGGGCAGCAGCCUGGCAAUUCAUUUGGAAAACUCUUUCAUGAACCUUGUUUCUCCUUCUACUGGCUCAGUGUCAGAGGUGGUACCUGGAGCCACCGUCUUGGAUUAUAAGGUGGUCUUCAGAAAGGAAGCUGCUUCUAGUGGGAAAUCCACAUAACAGGAGCCUGGGGGAGGUGGCGGGGGGGAUGUCAAUACACUGUGGGGAAUCCUUUCAGCCUUUGGCUCUUUGCUUAGAUUUUAUGAGAGAGAGAAAUAAACUUCUUUCUUGUAGCAGCUUGCAUUAUGGUGUCCCCAAAGACAUGUACACAUGCUACUGCCUUGAACCUGUGAAUGUAAACUUAUUUGGAGAAAGAAUCUUUCUCCAAAUGUAAUUAGGGGAGAUGAGAUCAUCCUGAAUGAUCCAGGUGGGCCCUCAAUUCAAUUAUAAGUGUUCUCAUUGCAGAUACACAGAGGAUAGACAGACAGAGAAAGAGAAGGUUCAGACACAGGGAUGAGAGGGAAUAUGAAGAUAGAGGCAGGAAUCAGAGUGACUCAGCUACUGGGGUCCUCCUGGUGAGGAAUGCUGGAGGCCACCAGAAGGUGGACGAAAUAGGAAACCAUCUCUGUUGGAGCCUCCAGAGGGAGCGUGGCGCUGUCAACCCCUUGAUUUUGGCCUGCUGGCCUCCAGUACUGUGAGAGAAUAAAAUUCUGUUGUUUCAAGCUGUAAACUUUGUGAUAAUUUUGUACCAGUGUACUAGGAAACACACACCCUUGUUUAAGCUGCUGGAUUUUGAGUUUUCUGUCACUCAUAAAGUAACCUAAUCCUAAGCAACAUUUUCUCAAACUGCAUUAUAAACAUCUUGAAAUCAAAGAUUUGCAUCUUAUAAUUAUUUAUACACCUCUCAUGAACUAGAAGAGAAAGUGUGUGUGCAUGUGUUAUUAUUAGUGGUACCAUAUUUGCAUUUCUACCAAGUCAGAAGGGAAUUGGUGCAGAGCAGAGGCUGCUGGUUUCAAAUAAACCUUGGAAGAAUUUCAGGAAGAGGUAUUAUUAAUGAUCAUUAUUACUGCCUAGCAAAACAUGUAAGCUUACCAAAAGAUGGGUGAAAGGGAAGUAAAACCUAGAGUGAUGAAUCAAAGUUUUGGAUAUGCUAAUAUUUUGAUGUCUCUUACAAGGUUUGGUUUACAUUGUGAAUGGAAUAGACAUUUCUCUCCCACUCAGCAAUACUAAAUAAAGACCCAGCAGGUUGUCUGCUGUGCUUACAUUGAACCUGCUUUCCCAAGUUAAUUGGUUUUCUUCCAGUUUUAGCAUCUUGAAUACUUCCUCAGCUUUCUAUCAUGCUGGUUUGUGGUUUAUUUCACUUGAAAGCUAAGGCACAUACAUAUGUAUUUCCUAUUUUAUUGUAGGACUUAAUCAGAUAUAGAAAUAAUCAGAGCAACUUGAUUAUUUUCAGAAUGGAGAAUUAGACGGUUCCACUAUCUUACUGAUGUGUAUGAAGAUCACGUGAACUAGAAAGAGCUUAAACUGGAAGGAUUUGUCUUAGAUUCAAAUCUUAUUAGGCUGUUGAAGAGCUAUGUGUUCCUAGGAAACUAAGUUCAUGAGUUGGGGGGUCUCAGUUUCUACACUGAAAUUUCUAUAUUGCAAUUGAGAAUGGGGAGAAUAAUACAUAUACCCCUGCACACACAUACACUCAUACACACAUACACACAAAUACAUAUAUAAGUAUAAUGCACAAGUACAUAUAUAAGUAUAUACUAUAUGUAUUUUCUCUGAACCUGGUACUUUUCCUAAAUCACAUUAUCACAUUCUUUCCUCUCAGUUCAGAAAGAAAGAAAGAAAGAAAGAAAGAAAGAAAGAAAGAAAGAAAGAAAGAAAGAAAGAAUCAAUUCCAGGCACAACUAACUCCAGAGCAUCACAUUACAAAUUUAUUCUUAAAAUUUUCUCUUGGAAAACCUUUCUUGAUCCAUCUUUCUUAUUUUGUAUAAAGAUAUGAUAGGACAAACUUGAUAUUACUGGAUAUAUACUGGCUUUUUUACUUUAAAUUUAUUCUUUAUAACUACCCUGUUUCAUAUUGUAUCAAUUUAAUUAUAUCUGCCAUUUCUUUGGGUUUAUCUUAUUACCACUUAUCCCAUUAAGGAAUGUAGAAUAUAGCAGCUCCCUUUGUGGCUCAGUGGUUAGCAGACCCGACUAGGAUCUAUGAGGACACAGGUUCAAUCCCUGGCCUCGCUCAGUAGGUUAAGGAUCCAGUGUUGCCACAAGCUGUGAUGUAGGCUGAAGAUGGAGCCUGGAUCCAGUGUUGCUGUGGCUAUGGUGUAGGCCGGCAGCUGCAGCUCCUAUUCAGUCCCUAGCCUGGGAACUUCCAUAUGCUGCA
rnacentral:lncRNA from 1 species